rnacentral:rRNA from 1 species
UAGGGAAUCUUCCGCAAUGGACGCAAGUCUGACGGAGCAACGCCGCGUGAGUGAAGAAGGAUUUCGGUUCGUAAAACUCUGUUGUUAGAGAAGAACAGCGCAUAGAGUAACUGUUAUGCGUGUGACGGUAUCUAACCAGAAAGCCACGGCUAACUACGUGCCAGCAGCCGCGGUAAUACGUAGGUGGCAAGCGCUGUCCGGAUUUAUUGGGCGUAAAGCGAGCGCAGGCGGUCAAUUAAGUCUGAUGUGAAAGCCCCCGGCUCAACCGGGGAGGGUCAUUGGAAACUGGUUGACUUGAGUGCAGAAGAGGAGAGUGGAAUUCCAUGUGUAGCGGUGAAAUGCGUAGAUAUAUGGAGGAACACCAGUGGCGAAGGCGACUCUCUGGUCUGUAACUGACGCUGAGGCUCGAAAGCGUGGGUAGCAAACAGG